UACGUAGGGGGCAAGCGUUGUCCGGAAUCACUGGGCUUAAAGCGUGUGUAGGCGGAUCGGUAAGUACCUUGUGAAAUCCCACAGCUUAACUGUGGAACUGCUUGGUAUACUGCCAGUCUUGAGCCAGCUAGGGGCUACCGGAACAAAUGGUGGAGCGGUGAAAUGCGUAGAUAUCAUUUGGAACGCCAAUGGUGAAAACAGGUAGCUGGGGCUGUGCUGACGCUGAGACACGAAAGCCAGGGGAGCGAACGGG
rnacentral:rRNA from 1 species